rnacentral:rRNA from 1 species
UCGGGAAUUUUGGGCAAUGGGCGAAAGCCUGACCCAGCGACGCCGCGUGAGGGAUGAAGUAUUUCGGUAUGUAAACCUCGAAAGAAUGGGAAGAAUAAAUGACGGUACCAUUUAUAAGCUCCGGCUAACUACGUGCCAGCAGCCGCGGUAAUACGUAGGGAGCAAGCGUUGUUCGGAUUUACUGGGCGUAAAGGGCGCGUAGGCGGCGCGGUAAGUCACUUGUGAAAUCUCUGAGCUUAACUCAGAACGGCCAAGUGAUACUGCUGUGCUAGAGUGCGGAAGAGGCAACCGGAAUUCUUGGUGUAGCGGUGAAAUGCGUAGAUAUCAAGAGGAACACCUGAGGCGAAGGCGGGUUGCUGGGCCGACACUGACGCUGAUGCGCGAAAGCCAGGGGAGCAAAC